rnacentral:tRNA from 2 species
GCCGGACUAGCUCAGCUGGUAGAGCAACUGAUUUGUAAUCAGUAGGUCGUUGGUUCGAUUCCGACGUCCGGCACCA